rnacentral:rRNA from 1 species
GACGAACGCUGGCGGCGUGCUUAACACAUGCAAGUCGAACGGAAAGGCCCUGCUUUUGUGGGGUGCUCGAGUGGCGAACGGGUGAGUAACACGUGAGUAACCUGCCCUUGACUUUGGGAUAACUUCAGGAAACUGGGGCUAAUACCGGAUAGGAGCUCCUGCUGCAUGGUGGGGGUGGGAAAGUUUCGGCGGUUGGGGAUGGACUCGCGGCUUAUCAGCUUGUUGGUGGGGUAGUGGCUUACCAAGGCUUGGACGGGUAGCCGGCCUGAGAGGGUGACCGGCCACAUUGGGACUGAGAUACGGCACAGACUCCUACGGGAGGCAGCAGUGGGGAAUAUUGCACAAUGGGCGGAAGCCUGAUGCAGCAACGCCGCGUGCGGGAUGACGGCCUGCGGGUUGUAAACCGCUUUCGCCUGUGACGAAGCGUGAGUGACGGUACUGGGUAAAGAAGCACCGGCUAACUACGUG